AGAUUGAGCAACAAGAUAGGCCUAGAGGCGGCUGUUGAAGCCACCGCCGAGUUCCUGAGCAAGGCAGUGAAGCCGGUCUUGGUCGGAGGCCCCAAGAUCAGGGUGGCCAAGGCUGGAAAGGCCUUUGUGGAGCUGGCAGAUGCUUGCGGCUACCCCAUAGCCGUGAUGCCGUCGGCCAAGGGACUCGUCCCAGAGCACCACCCACACUUCAUCGGAACCUACUGGGGUGCCAUCAGUACUGCUUUCUGUGCCGAGAUCGUGGAGUCGGCCGAUGCAUACCUCUUUGCAGGGCCCAUCUUCAAUGACUACAGCUCGGUCGGGUACUCCCUCCUCCUCAAGAAGGAGAAGUCCAUUAUCGUGCAGCCUGACCGUGUGGUGGUUGCCAAUGGGCCUGCUUUUGGGUGUAUCUUGAUGAAGGACUUCCUCCGGGAGCUCGCCAAGCGGCUCAAGCGCAACACUAAUGCCUACGACAACUACCACCGGAUCUUUGUGCCCGACGGUGUCCCGCCUGAGUGCAAGCCCAAGGAGCCUCUGAGG
rnacentral:lncRNA from 1 species